UACGGAAGGCAGCAGUGGGGAAUAUUGCACAAUGGGCGCAAGCCUGAUGCAGCCAUGCCGCGUGUAUGAAGAAGGCCCUUCGGGUUGUAAAGUACUUUCAGUCGUGAGGAAGGUGUUAAGGUUAAUAACCUUAGCAAUUGACGUUAGCGACAGAAGAAGCACCGGCUAACUCCGUGCCAGCAGCCGCGGUAAUACGGAGGGUGCGAGCGUUAAUCGGAAUUACUGGGCGUAAAGGGCACGCAGGCGGUUAAUUAAGUUGGAUGUGAAAUCCCCGGGCUUAACCUGGGAAUGGCAUUCAAGACUGGUUAGCUAGAGUCUUGUAGAGGGGGUAGAAUUCCAUGUGUAGCGGUGAAAUGCGUAGAGAUGUGGAGGAAUACCGGUGGCGAAGGCGGCCCCUGGACAAGACUGACGCUCAUGUGCGAAAGCGUCGGGGAGCAAACGAGGGAUUAGAUA
rnacentral:rRNA from 1 species